rnacentral:rRNA from 1 species
GAGCACGUAGGUGGGUUUGUAAGUCAGGUGUGAGAGCCUUCUGUUCAAAGGAAGAACGGCAUCUGAAACUGCGAAUCUUGAGUGUAGGAGGGGAGAGUGGAACUUCUGGUGGAGCGGUGAAAUGCGUAGAUAUCAGAAGGAACGUCGGCGGCGAAAGCGACUCUCUGGCCUAUUACUGACACUGAGUGUGCGAAAGUUAGGGGAGCAAACGGGAUUAGAUACCCCGGUAGUCCUAACCGUAAACGAUGGGCACUAAGUAGAGGG